UGCUCAAGUACCCACACAGGCAGAAAUGAGCAAAGCUUUGUAGGGUGCACUGGAGUGCCAGGCUGCCUGAAGAGGAGUGAAAAACAAGCAGGUCUCCGGAUAUUAAGUGUCCUUAGACAGAUCUUAUAUGAGUGACACCAGCAGAAAAAGAAACAACAGUGACCAUCUUAUUGAGGUCUCAUGUUCCCUUUGGUAAAACUCCAUUUUUUACCCAGCGCUGCAAAUAUUACUAUUAUUCCUGCUUUUUGGAAGAGAACCGAAUUGCAUUUAUUUCUGGAGCAGAACUGGAGAAAGGAAACUGCAAAGCCACUAAUGGACCACAUUACAGCAUGCUCGCAGCACUUGCCAUUAUUAAUUAGAGUGGAAUAGAGGCAUGACAUCCUUGUCUUCAUCCUCAUUUUGCUACUGGUAACUCCACUCCUAUGAAAUAGGAUAGAAUUAUUCACUUGAUUUCAACAGCCACUGCAUUCCUGCCUAUUGAAAAUAAACUGCUUGCUUAUUCAGUGAGACCAAAUAUCAUGGUCUUCCAGCAAUGCUUAAAUGACUUUGUAUUUGUCACACCUAUUUCAUUACAGAUAGUUGUUUAUCUGAUUUGUAACGAUGUAUUAAAAAAAUAUUUGUUGGACUUAAUAUGAAAAAUAAGGUUGAAAUUCAGCUAUGGUUGUUGAUAUGAAAUAUACAUACGCAAACUCAAAACGUUAAUGAAUAAAUCUUGUAUAACUUCAGCUAAUAAUACAGGUGGAAUAAAUUACUACUUGUC